rnacentral:rRNA from 1 species
GAUGAACGCUGGCGGCGUGCUUAACACAUGCAAGUCGAACGGAAAGGCCACAGCUUGCUGUGGUACUCGAGUGGCGAACGGGUGAGUAACACGUGGGUUAUCUGCCCUGUACUUCGGGAUAAGCUUGGGAAACUGGGUCUAAUACCGGAUAGGAAUCACAUGUGGGUGUGUGGUUGGAAAGCUUUUGCGGUAUGUGAUGAGCUCGCGGCCUAUCAGCUUGUUGGUGGGGUAAUGGCCUACCAAGGCGUCGACGGGUAGCCGGCCUGAGAGGGUGUACGGCCACAUUGGGACUGAGAGACGGCCCAGACUCAUAAGGGAGGCAGCAGUGGGGAAUAUUGCACAAGGGGCGCAAGCCUGAUGCAGCGACGCCGCGUGGGGGAUGACGGCCUUCGGGUUGUAAACUCCUUUCGUCAGGGACGAAGCGAAAGUGACGGUACCUUGAUAAGAAGCACCGGCUAACUACGUG